rnacentral:rRNA from 1 species
AACGAACGCUGGCGGCAGGCUUAACACAUGCAAGUCGAACGCCCCGCAAGGGGAGUGGCAGACGGGUGAGUAACGCGUGGGAACAUACCCUUUCCUGCGGAAUAGCUCUGGGAAACUGGAAUUAAUACCGCAUACGCCCUACGGGGGAAAGAUUUAUCGGGGAAGGAUUGGCCCGCGUUGGAUUAGCUAGUUGGUGGGGUAAAGGCCUACCAAGGCGACGAUCCAUAGCUGGUCUGAGAGGAUGAUCAGCCACAUUGGGACUGAGACACGGCCCAAACUCCUACGGGAGGCAGCAGUGGGGAAUAUUGGACAAUGGGCGCAAGCCUGAUCCAGCCAUGCCGCGUGAGUGAUGAAGGCCUUAGGGUUGUAAAGCUCUUUCACCGAUGAAGAUAAUGACGGUAGUCGGAGAAGAAGCCCCGGCUAACUUCGUGCCAGCAGCCGCGGUAAUAC